GUUUCCGUCCCCUUGCGGGGAAAAGGUAGAAGCUAAC
rfam:Planktothrix serta PCC 8927 isolate BBR_PRJEB10992 genome assembly, scaffold: BBR_A_PL8927_scaffold13